UCUUUUCAUUCCUUUAAAAUUGAAAUUUCUGGAUGAAAUUGUUUUGUAUUGAAGGUUAAUGGAAGAAACUAUGUGAAACCAGAACUCAAAAUUUCUGGUCCUCAUGUUCUUGGUGUUGUUGCUGCUUAUCAAGCUUCCAUUGGACCAUCCCUAAAUGACUUAUCAUGUGUCCUCACUCCUAGGGAAAACAAUGCAGUAGACUCAGCAAGAUUAACUUCACGGGAAAAAAACUGUUAAUGGAAGAAACUAUGUGAAACCAGAACUCAAAAUUUCUGGUCCUCAUGUUCUUGGUGUUGUUGCUGCUUAUCAAGCUUCCAUUUAACCAUCCCUAAAUGACUUGUCAUGUGUCCUCACUCCUAGGGAAAACAAUGCAGUACACUCAGCAAGAUUAACUUCACGGGAAAAAAGCUGUAAGCAUUCUUUUCAUUCCUUUAAAAUUGAAAUUUCUGGAUGAAAUUGUUUUGUAUUGAAGGUUAAUGGAAGAAACUAUGUGAAACCAGAACUCAAAAUUUCUGGUUUGUGAAAUUUCUAUUCUAAAAUUUUGAAUAUAGAUUA